rnacentral:rRNA from 1 species
AGUGAACGCUGGCGGCAGGCCUAACACAUGCAAGUCGAACGGCAACACAAUGAGGGUUUCCUCUUUCGGGUGGCGAGGGGCGGACGGGUGAGGAGUACAGCGGAAUCCACUUUUUCGUGGGGGAAAUCGUGGAGAAAGUUACGAUAAUACCGCAAACGACCAACAGCUAAAAGCAGGACAUCUUGGUACCUUGCCCUCUGGAAUGACCCGAUGUGGGUUGAGCUAGUUGGCGGGGUAAGGGCACACCAAGGCGACGAUCCGUAGCUGGUCUGAGAGGAUGACCAGCCACACUGGAACUGAGACACGGUCCAGACUCCUACGGGAGGAAGCAGUGGGGAAUAUUGGACAAUGGGCGCAAGCCUGAUGCAGCCAUCCCGCGUGUGUGAAGAAGGCCUUCGGGUUGUAAAGUCCUUUUGUAGGGAAGGAAGAGCGUCAGGUUAAUACCCUGGUGCAUUGACGGUACCCACAGAAUAAGCACCGGCUAACUUCGUG